GGAUUGUGAAUGGAGUAGUCUGUGGAAUAGUGCUGUUGUUGUUGCUAUAUAAAGCUAAGGCAGACAGAGUGGCUCCAGGACUCUAGUAAAUCAGUAAACUAAGACUGUUCCUCUCUGUGAAGAGUCAGAUAGCUGCUAUGAGCACUCUUUGUAUGUUCUUUAACUAUGCUGUUUAUGAACAACUUUAUUUUCUUCAGUAAAAGUUUUACAGUGGUACCUUGGGUUAACACUUCAGGUUACAUACGCUUCAGGUUACAGACUCCGCUAACCCAGAAAUAGUACCUCGGGUUAAGAACUUUGCUUCAGGAUGAGAACAGAAAUCGCUCAGCGGCAGCGGGAGGCCCCAUUAACUAAAGUGGUACAUCAGGUUAAGAACAGUUAAAGGUUAAGAAGGGACCUCCAGAAUGAAUUAAGUUCUUAACCCAAGGUACCACUGUAUUUCUGUUUAUGAAAGAAGACUCUGCAUUGAUUAAUUUACUACUGUGCGACAUAAUUGGUCUGUGGGAGGAAGUGCAGCUCAGUGGAAAAGCAUAAGUGUUGUAUGCAAAAGCCCCCAGUUUCAGGGCUGAUCUACCUAGAGGUUCCUCCACACACCCCAGGAUUUCACACCUGAAAUCCUACAGAACUACUGACAUUCAAUGUAGAGCAGCCUUCACUGACCUGGUACCCUCCAAAAACCUGGGCUGAUGGGAGUUCUGGUCCAAAGCAUCCACAGGGCAGCAGGUUGGAUAAGGAUGGGGUAGACAGCAGGAAGCAAAAUAGACGAAGGGUCCUACUCAGUACAUGGCAGCUUCCAGUGUAUCUUGCUCUUCACUGGUCUGCAUAUUCUGGUCUCCGGUAAUCGGUCCUCAAAGAGCAAACCAGAGUCCCAUGGCACUGCCCCUGAAACUUAUUUACGGAAAAGAGGAGUGCAUAAAAAUGUAAUAAAUUGUAGCCCUAUUGUUGCCAAUAUGCAUUUUGUUUAAAAUAAAUUCUGCGAGUCAUAAGCAAGUGGUAUUUCAGGAGUGAGCAGUUACCUUUCCCUGCUCCCCCUCCCCUUCAACCUUUCAUUUCCUAAGUGCUUUGGCUCCAUCUCCAUCAUCCAUUUUUUUGCCUAACAAGAUUGUAUGAUUAUGAAAACAUGUCAAAGAACAUUCAUUAUUGCCUCGAGCCUCCAUAAUAAAAGAAAGGGCCAUCAUAUUUCUAAAUGGCAUUUAUAAUCACAACAAUUUGCAGAGGUAAAUUAAAAGCCCUGAAGAUAGCCAAGAGGUAAACAACCUUGCAAAAUUAUACCAGAGCACUUGUAGAGUGAGGCAUUAACUUGGAUGGAAAUGGUUCAUUAGGCUUUUAAUCUUGAGAAGCUUCCACAGCAGCCCACGCGGGGAACAGACUUUUAAAAAAUGAAAUACACAUGCCUGUUUUUAGACACACAUUCACAUGUACACAUUUGUAUAUGCACACACAACAUUAUUAUUAUCAGUAUUUAUUAAACUUGUAUACUGCCCUUUGUCUCUAGAUCUCAGGGCAGUUCACAAAACAGGCAAGAUGGCAGAGCCUCAGAUUGCUUGGGAAGGAACCAGGAAAGGAGGAACUUUAGGGAGCUGUAGGAAGGUGGGGACCUUUGGGAAGUGUUGCUGUAUUCACUAGUCCUGGCCUCCUGAGCUGUUUUGUUUCUUUGAAUAAAGAGUUUACUUCACCAAAGUCAUGUGAGUUAUUGCUGACCUGCUCUCAGCACCCGCUCUUGACACUCCCUUCACAUAAACUGGGGCAAUUGUGAAAAUGUUGAAAUGAGUGGCAGUGAAACUAAGUGGUUGGGGAGCUGCAGGCAUGAGGAAGCAAUGCUGAAGAGACAAGGGUUGAAUUGACAUCAUGCUCCCCCUCCCCAAAGGUCUGAGAUUGCCUGUCCUGCAGAAGAUCCACAGCUGUAGAGGAAGACAACGCUCUGGUCCAGGCGAGAUGCAGUAUCUCCUCUCCCUGCUUGCUCACCCUUUUGACUCCCUCCUUUCCUUUUGACAGUCCCAGGUAGGCUUUGUCAACCUGUUCCAGUCAAAACCAUGCUGCUCUGGUUCAUAAUGUGGACUUCAGCUGGUGGUUAUUUUCAAGAAUGUAUGCAGUUUUGUGCAGACAUCUCCCUAAUCUAUGCAUUUUUGUAAACUUUGGGGGUUGGAUAACUGCACCAGAAAAUUCAGGGAAAAGCAAAUUCUGAAGUCUAGGUGCUUUUCAAUUCACACAUUGGUUCAGGAGUACAAAUUAGGCAAUAAGGAUCCAAUCCAAACGAAAUUUCUUACCCAUCCCUAGAGAAAGAUAACCAUUUUGCACAUGCAUAACGUUUUCAGGUGUUUUACACAUUUGCAGAAUGUCCGAAUUCGCCCUCCUUACAUAACAUACAGAUCCACAGAUCAAUUGCACUCUCUGUUGCUUCUCAGAAAUUAGAACACAAGAGGCAAGUGCUUCUGUUCUUCUGACAUCCAGUCAACAUCCUUUUGUCGGGAUGCACUGGCGUGCUUUACUGAUACCACAGACCUCCCCCACUGCUACCUGGAACAACCUGUGUUUUUUGUUUAGGCAAAGAGGCUAUCAUUCAUUCUGACAGCUCCAAAAAUAUGCAUUCAGAUGAAUUUUCCUUUAUAAAAAAUGCAUGCAAAAGCUCCUUCAAGGUUACUUCCAAAACUACAGCUUGUCAGAAGAUGGUGCUAUCAGGCAAUUUAUAUCAGUGCCAAGAGUUUCUGUUUUAAGUUUUCCGUUUUUUUAUUAAAAAACCCCAACAAAAACUCAGUCCCUUAGAAAAUAUAUAUUAAAAAUGGUUGCUUAGCUUGAAACACAUUAAUUUUUUAUGAAGCAAAUUAUUCCAAAUUCUGCUAUAAACAGAACUUCGACCUUGGACUAGAUAAAAGUCAUCAGAUCAGCGCUGGAGGGAUCCAGGGCUAGGGAACCUACAGCUCUAUAGGUCUUGAUGGACUCCAACUCCCAUCAGCCUUUGCCAGCUUAGCCAUUGAUGAGGGAUGAUGUGGCUUGUAUCCCAUCUGGAGGGUAACCGGUUCGCCAUCCCUGAUUUAGUCCAACCACUGACCAAUGAAGGAAACCCAGUGCAAGGACAUCCCUAUUAAAUCUCUGGUCCAGCAAGGGCAAAUCAAGCUCUACCCCUCUAGGCAACUGGUUCCACUGUCAAACUACACUUAGUGUCAAUACAUUUCUCCUAAAACUGAACCAAAAUCUACCCUCCUGCAACUUAAGCCUAUUAAAUUAAGUCCUUUUCUGUAUAAUUUUUAUUAAGUUUUUCUAUUUUACAUUUUAGAAUAUUCAUUUAAACAACCUUACCAUAUCAAUGACUUCCCUUCUUCGCUUUCCAUGGUUCAGUUUGCAUGCCAUAGACCGCUGCAUAGUUUACAUAAACUAAACCAUUCAGUAUUUCAUUUUUACAUCAAUCAAAACUUAUUUACACUGUUGAAUUUAUCUUAAAGCUGCCAACGUUUUCAAAUGUACACAAUUUUCACCCAUAUACUCAAUAAACAUUUUCUAAUCAUCUUUAAAUGUAUGUUCUUCUUGUUCUCUUAUUCUACAUGUUAGGUCCACAAGCUGCACAUAUUCCAUCAGUUUAAGUUGCCAUUCUUCUUUAGUUGGGACCUCGCUCGUUUUCCAUUUUUGGUCUAAUGAAACACAGGCCGCAGUAGUGGGAUACACAAAUUGCCUUUUUUGACACCUGGAAAUUUCCGUCUGAAUUAUCCCCAGCAAAAAGGACUCUGUUUUUUGGAGUUUUGUUUGUUUGUUUUGAAAAUUACUUUUAAACAUUUUUUUUCAAUUCAUUAUAAAUUAUUUCCCAAUAUUCUUUUACCCUUUUAUAUUAAAUAUUAAAGUCCUGGCCACUGCAGCAGCAGAAAGUAGGGCCCCAUCUGCACCAUAUACCGUAUCUAAAGCAUCAUCAUACCACUUUUAACAGUUAUGGCUUCCCCCAAAGAAUCCUAGGAAGUAUAGUUCGUUAAAGGUGGUAAGAGUUGUUAGGAGACCUCCAUUCCCACACAGAGCAACUGUUCCCAGAGUUCACUGGGAAGAGGGACUAAUAAGGAAUUGCAGCCCGGGGUGGUAACAGGAGGUCUCCUAACAACUCUCACCACCCUUAACACACAACAGUUCCAAGGUUUCUUUGGGAGAAUCUGUGACUCUUCAAAGUGGUACAACACUGCUUUAAAUGAAUAGUGCAGAUGGGGACCAAAUCCCUUUGGUAUUUCCCUCAGAUUCAUUUCUGAUAGUUUUAUUUUAAAAUAUAUAUAUAUAUUUAUUGAUUUUCCAACCAUUUAAACACAAUAAAACAGAAAAAACAAAAAAGGAAAAGAAAAAGCAAAGAAAAGAAAAAACAUAAGAUUAACAAAACAAGACACAAACCAUUUAAAACACAAAACAAUUUCAAUAUCUUAACUUUCAUUCCCUUAUUUCCACAAGCUCCUCACGCCUCCCUUUUUGUAUUCCACUUCUAUUAAUUGUUUCAGCAAUUCCUUUCCAUCUUCCUCUGUUUUCUAUCCUACAAUUAUCUUAACAUAUUCUAAUCUUAUUUUUCCCUUUAAUACUCUAUUAGUCUAUUUAUACUUAAUUCCUUAUAGCAUUUCUACUAAAGCCAUAUAACUUCAUUCCAACAUUUUUCUAACAUUCAUUAUUUUUACAAUAUUUCUAUAAAUAGUCUUAAACUUUUCCCAGUCUUCUUCCACCGACUCUUCUCCCUGGUCUCGGAUUUCUGCCAGUCGUUUCCGCCAAUUCCAUAUAGUCCAUCAACUUCCUCUGCCAUUCUUCCCGGAUAGAUAAAUCUUGUGUCUUCCAGUACUUCACAAUGAGUAUUCUUGCUGCUAUUGUUGCAUACGUGAAAAGGGUUCUAUCCUUCUUUAACACCAAUUGGCCGACCAUGCCCAGGAGAAAGGCCUCUGGUUUCUUCAAAAGGGUAUAUUUAAGUACCUUUUUCAUUUCGUUAUGAAUCAUCUCCCAAAGUGUCUUAAUCCUUGGGCAUGUCCACCAAAGGUGAACUCGAAUCCUCAAAUUCGUCUGUUUUUCUUUAAGUUCAGUCAUAGCAAGCGUCAGCUUAUAUUCAUCAAGUUGCUUCUGUAGGGCUGGGGCUCUCUUUCUCUUUCUCUCCAGCUGUGUUUCUUUACAUUCAGCAACAACAGCUUUUUCCCUGGCCUUCUCCGCAGUUUGCCGUAUCGAAAUAGGUUCCUGUGUCAAUUUCUGGGUAGUUUCUAUAUUAGUAUUAUUUAUACUUUCUAUAUUUCUGAUAGUUUUAGACUCAUUUGCUAAAAAAAUAAAAAUGACAAAUUUGUGAAUGUCAUAACCAAUUCACUUGGUUCAGAAUCCGAACAUGCAUGCAGUUUCUGCUGUGAAUUAUUCCUAAUUGUGGCAGUUAAAUUUGAACAAAGUGCACCUUCUGCCAUGAGGAUGAACUAAUUAGUUUUUGUUUUUAUUAUUCAUACUAUUUAAAUUACCAUAGAAUAUAUUGUAUAUAUUAAAAUUACCCAGUUAAAAUCAACAGCACAAGGCACUAAAAAGAUACGCAUGAACAACAAUAAAAAAAAUCAACAGAGAGGAGCCAAUACAAGCACAGCCAAAGAAAAUGUAAAAGAAAAUUUAGCAAGCAAGCCAGCCAGCAAAACUCUUGCCAAUUUACCACUAAAAAAGAAAACAAGUUAGAACAAUUCAAGACUUGAGGAAAUACAAAGGCUAUUUGCAUGCAUAACCAUGUAGACAUUCAUGAAUCAGAUUGACCCAUGCCCCUUUCUAAUAUCUCGGAUGGCCAUCUGACAGGGUUGGUGCCACCAGUGAGUAAGCCCUGAUGUCAGUGGAUGUACACCAGGCCUUAUUAGCUAAGGCCCUCUAACGCUGAACCAAGGGAAUAGGGUGCCCAUUUCCCAGGCACAAGUUUAGCAUCGUCUGGUUUUGCCCUCAUUUCAACACAGCAACAUGUUGACCAAAGAAAGACUUGUUUGGUUUAAAUUAAGGAUUGCCUUGCAUUCUUGGAAGGCUUUAACAGAGGAGUAAAUAAAUGAAUCAACUAUUAGUCACAAUGGAAUUGUUCCACCACUACUUCUGCAGGCAGAAUGCUGCUGCAUACUAGUUGCUGGGGAUCACAAGUGAGAGGAGUGCUAUUACACUAGGAUCUUGUUUAUGGGCUUUGAAGAUGCACCUGGUUGGCCACUGUGCAAACAGAAUGGUUGAACAUAUAGGCCUAUAGCCUGAUACAGUGGGGCUCUUCUGUUCUUACCUUUUGUUGCAUGCUAUUUCCAUUGCCAGAUGAGGAGGCAUGGAUGUGGUUAAGAAGUGGACUGCUUUACAAUUAAGAUGAAGGGCACUCUGCUUAUACAUUCAGAAUGAAUCUAUGAUGCAGUGAAAUCAAUAUUAUUUCUCCUCAAAAGCAGAUACUUCAACCUCUAUUUUCUAAUGUACUAAUAGUUUUUCUCUCCCGCUUUUUUCAUCUCACAGCAUGAUGCAAACACACCCACACCCAGAGCAUUUCUGCAUUUUUUCUGGAGAAACAAAGGACACAUUAUUAUUAUUAUUAUUAUUAUUAUUAUUAUGAAACCCUAAGAACAAAAUUUGCCUGCCUUUUGGUCUCCUUGCGUUAUGACUGGCUCUCUCAGCC
rnacentral:lncRNA from 1 species